UACGUAGGUGGCAAGCGUUGUCCGGAUUUACUGGGCGUAAAGAGCGCGCAGGCGGUCGGAUAAGUCGAAUGUGAAAGCCCCUGGCUCAACCAGGGAGGGUCAUUCGAUACUGUUCGACUCGAAGGCAGGAGAGGGAAGUGGAAUUCCGGGUGUAGUGGUGAAAUGCGUAGAUAUCAGGAGGAACACCGGUGGCGAAGGCGGCUUUCUGGACGACAACUGACGCUGAGACGCGAAAGCGUGGGGAGCAAACAGG
rnacentral:rRNA from 1 species